AAACGGGCUGGCAGGUGGCAGUGGUGAGUGUGGGCGAGAUUCUGCAGACCCAGAAUUGAUUUCGCUCUGCACUGAAUUUUUUCAAAGUCUACUUUUCUACUGUUCUCUGCUCUGGAGUUUCUUCCCUUCCUGGUAGGGUGAUCAGGAACAUAGAGAUCUGCUGUCAGAACCAACUUGAAAAUAAAGAUCAAUCAAUUCCUCACUGCCACUGUGAUGUGUGUAAAAGGAACAGUUGAAAGAGACAUGAACUCAGCUCAUUACUUCUGCCCCAUAGGAUGCAAACAGCCGCAAGCGUGAGUAACAAGCCAGGUGAACAAGGGAGAAAAGUCUGUAGUGAGCUCAUCUCCCAGCAGCUACUCAUUAUUCUAAUUAUUCCGAGGACUGCAGCCACUUCUCAACGUGAGAGCACAGGUCCUCCUGCUUCAGAACUUCCUGGGGUGAUUGUUCAGACUUUGCCUCCUGAACCCCUCCAGCCUAAGGACCAGGAUUUCUGGAGGAGGAGCUAUGAAUCUGCAGCUUUAACAAGCUCCCCAGGUGAUGCUCAUGCUGUCCUGGUCCGAGACCCGCUGAAUUACACACCCCUGCCCUCGGGGUGUCUCGGUACGUCUUCCACACUCCACCCCCAGCAGAGCACAAGGACCAAGAACAUGGCUUGAGGUCAGACCCUGGCUUGGCCACAUAUUGGCCCUAAGCGGGCGCUGGAUAACAGCACACAGGACAGGUGAGGCUGAGAACUGAGCCCCCUGAGAAGCUAAGCUGCGGGACUGAUUCUGUUCAGCUGGGACUCCUGGUAAUGCUGCAGACAGGCCUCUACCUGUGUAGGGACAGCUGAGGGCAGGUUCUAACCCCCCUCACAAGCUCGACUUCAGAGGGGAAAUACAUAUGUCAUUCUUACUGCCGAGACCUGGUACAUCUGGAUUAUCCACAAAAUGGCAAAUUUCAAAGCCGUAUGCCCACUUGUGAAGUAAGACACUCAAGCCAAAGGAACCCUCAGGUAGGUGCUACGUGGUGCUUGCAGUGUUCUGGGUUGGGGGCAGUGCCAUCACUUGAAUGCCAGCAGAAUGGAGAGUGGGCUCCUUAUGCCCAUGGCUUACCUGUAUUUCUUCACAAGUUCUAGCUCAUGUUCAUUCUUUGCCAUGACUCCUUUCCUCAGGGCCUGUUGCGUCAGAAGCUUAACCAUGGGUCGUGAUUCUAGAAAUAACAGGAUAGAAUG